CAAUAGCAUAUAUUAACGUUGUUGCAGUUGAAAAGCUCGUAGUUGAACUUUUGGUAGGAGCGACCUGGCCUUGGGCGCAUGCCCUUGUUUGCCGUGUGUCGUAUCUGGCCAUCCUUUUCCGUUUCGGCGGGAAUCUUUUACUGUGAGUAAACUGGAGUGCUCAAAACAAGACGUUUGUUUGGUACAUUAAAGCAUGGAAUAAUAAGAUAGGACCUGGUUACUAUUUUGUUGGUUUGCAUAGCUAGGUAAUGAUUAACAGGGACAGUUGGGGGUAUUCGUAUUUAAUUGUCAGAGGUGAAAUUCUUGGAUUUAUGAAAGACGAACGACUGCGAAAGCAUUUACCAAGGAUGUUUUCAUUGA
rnacentral:rRNA from 1 species